GACCGAGGGUGCAAACGUUGUUCGGAAUUACUGGGCGUAAAGGGCUCGUAGGCGGCCAACUAAGUCAGACGUGAAAUCCCUCGGCUUAACCGGGGAACUGCGUCUGAUACUGGAUGGCUAGAGAUUGGGAGAGGGAUGCGGAAUUCCAGGUGUAGCGGUGAAAUGCGUAGAUAUCUGGAGGAACACCGGUGGCGAAGGCGGCAUCCUGGACCAACACUGACGCUGAGGAGCGAAAGCCAGGGGAGCAAACGGG
rnacentral:rRNA from 1 species